GAUCCUGGCUCAGGAUGAACGCUGGCGGCGUGCUUAACACAUGCAAGUCGAACGGGAAACCUUUUAUUGAAGCUUCGGCAGAUUUAGUUGGUUUCUAGUGGCGGACGGGUGAGUAACGCGUGGGUAACCUGCCUUAUACAGGGGGAUAACAACCAGAAAUGGUUGCUAAUACCGCAUAAGCGCACAGGACCGCAUGGUCCGGUGUGAAAAACUCCGGUGGUAUAAGAUGGACCCGCGUUGGAUUAGCUAGUUGGCAGGGUAACGG
rnacentral:rRNA from 1 species